GUGUCCGCCUCCUUUGACACCUUCCUACCUCACCACCAGUAAAUUCUAGAAAAUUCAUCUUCACCACCACUACCCCAGGACUGUGAUCUCAGACUUCUGGAGUGAUCUGAGAGCUGAGAGUAGAACUCACUAUGUAAAAAAAAAAAGCCCUAGGUUCCAUCCUCAGUGUGAGAAGCAGGUGGAAGUGAUGCUCAGUGGUUAAGCACUUGCUGCUCUUGCAGAGGACUGGAGUUUGGUUCCCAGAGCCUAUAUCAAUGUAGUGUCUCAAAACUACCAGGAACUUGUGUUCGUGGAGAUGCGAUGCCCUUUCUGGCCUCUGAGGCCACCUGCGCGCGCGCACACACGCGCACACACACUUCUCUUUCUGUCUCUCUCUGUCUCUCUCUCUCUCUCACUCUCCCUCUCAAAUAAAAAAAAAACGCAUAAGUUA